rnacentral:rRNA from 1 species
GGUGGUAAUGCCGGAUGCUCCAGUUGAUCGCAUGGUCUUCUGGGAAAGCCUUUGCGGCAUGGGAUGGGGUCGCGUCCUAUCAGCUUGAUGGCGGGGUAACGGCCCACCAUGGCUUCGACGGGUAGCCGGCCUGAGAGGGCGACCGGCCACAUUGGGACUGAGAUACGGCCCAGACUCCUACGGGAGGCAGCAGUGGGGAAUAUUGCACAAUGGGCGCAAGCCUGAUGCAGCGACGCCGCGUGAGGGAUGGAGGCCUUCGGGUUGUAAACCUCUUUUGUUAGGGAGCAAGGCAUUUUGUGUUGAGUGUACCUUUCGAAUAAGCACCGGCUAACUACGUGCCAGCAGCCGCGGUAAUACGUAGGGUGCAAGCGUUAUCCGGAAUUAUUGGGCGUAAAGGGCUCGUAGGCGGUUCGUCGCGUCCGGUGUGAAAGUCCAUCGCUUAACGGUGGAUCCGCGCCGGGUACGGGCGGGCUUGAGUGCGGUAGGGGAGACUGGAAUUCCCGGUGUAACGGUGGAAUGUGUAGAUAUC